GCGAUGAAUCAGGCGAUCGCCUUGUCCGUUAAACGCCGCGGCUUUGUUGUACCCGGUAAUGCGUUUUGGGACAGGGAGGAAAGUCCGGACUCCGCAGGGCGGGAUGCCGGCUAACGGCCGGGCUCGUUAUUUCGGGAACUUAACAGUUCCCGAAAUAACGGGACAGAAAGCGCAGCAGAAAACAAACUACCCGGCCAGGUUACCGCGUUGAGCGGGAACCUAGCCUGUGGAAAAGGUGAAAAGGCGGGGUAAGAGCCCACCGCGGCGGCGGCAACGGCGCCGGCACUGCAAGCCUCAUCCGGAGCAAAGUCAAACAGCUGUGGCGAAGGUUUUCCUUCACGGACGGCCCGUCCGCACACGGUGGGUAGACUGCAAAG
rnacentral:RNase_P_RNA from 1 species